AAAGAUUAAGCCAUGCAUGUCUAAGUAUAAGCAAUCUAUACCGUGAAACUGCGAAUGGCUCAUUAAAUCAGUUAUCGUUUAUUUGAUAGUACCUUACUACUUGGAUAACCGUGGUAAUUCUAGAGCUAAUACAUGCUAAAAACCCCGACUUCGGAAGGGGUGUAUUUAUUAGAUAAAAAACCAAUGCCCUUCGGGGCUCCUUGGUGAUUCAUAAUAACUUAACGAAUCGCAUGGCCUUGUGCCGGCGAUGGUUCAUUCAAAUUUCUGCCCUAUCAACUUUCGAUGGUAUGGUCUUGGCUUACCAUGGUUUCAACGGGUAACGGGGAAUUAGGGUUCUAUUCCGGAGAGGGAGCCUGAGAAACGGCUACCACAUCCAAGGAAGGCAGCAGGCGCGCAAAUUACCCAAUCCCGACACGGGGAGGUAGUGACAAUAAAUACUGAUACAGGGCUCUUUUGGGUCUUGUAAUUGGAAUGAGUACAAUUUAAAUCCCUUAACGAGGAACAAUUGGAGGGCAAGUCUGGUGCCAGCAGCCGCGGUAAUUCCAGCUCCAAUAGCGUAUAUUAAAGUUGUUGCAGUUAAAAAGCUCGUAGUUGAACCUUGGGCCUGGUUGGCCGGUCCGCCUCACCGCGUGCACUGGUCCGACCGGGUCUUUCCUUCUGAGGAGCCGCAUGCCCUUCACUGGGUGUGUCGGGGAAUCAGGACUUUUACUUUGAAAAAAUUAAAGUGUUCAGAGCAGGCCUAUGCUCGAAUACAUUAGCAUGGAAUAAUAGAAUANGACGUGUGGUUCUAUUUUGUUGGGUUCUAGGACCGCCGUAAUGAUUAA
rnacentral:rRNA from 1 species